UGUCUGAACAUGGGGGGACCACCCUCCAAGCCUAAGUACUCCUUAACGACCGAUAGUGUACCAGUACCGUGAGGGAAAGGUGAAAAGCACCCCGAUAAGGGGAGUGAAAUAGUUCCUGAAACCGGAUGCCUACAAGCAGUUGGAGCCUCUAUAUGGGGUGACAGCGUACCUCUUGCAUAAUGGGUCAGCGAGUUAGUCUUACAAGCGAGCUUAAGCCGUUAGGUGUAGGCGCAGCGAAAGCGAGUCUGAAUAGGGCGAUUGAGUUUGUGGGAUUAGACCCGAAACCAGGUGAUCUAGCCAUGAGCAGGUUGAAGGUGAUGUAACAGUCACUGGAGGACCGAACCCACGUCUGUUGAAAAAGACGGGGAUGACUUGUGGUUAGGGGUGAAAGGCCAAUCAAACCUGGAGAUAGCUGGUUCUCCGCGAAAUCUAUUUAGGUAGAGCGUCAGACGAAUACCAUCGGGGGUAGAGCACUGAAUGGGCUAGGGGGCCUUACCGGCUUACCAAACCUAAUCAAACUCCGAAUACCGAUGAGUACUAUCUGGCAGACAGACUACGGGUGCUAAGGUCCGUGGUCGAGAGGGAAACAGCCCAGACCGCCAGUUAAGGUCCCAAAGUUGUGGCUAAGUGGGAAAGGAUGUAGGACGGCCAAGACAACCAGGACGUUGGCUUAGAAGCAGCCAUCGUUUAAAGAAAGCGUAACAGCUCACUGGUCUAAAUAAGCUGUCCCGCGCCGAAGAUGUACCGGGGCUCAAGCCACACACCGAAACUGCGGAUUUGUUCUUUAUUGAACAAGUGGUAGCGGAGCGUUCCGUAAGCCUGUGAAGGUGUACCGUAAGGUAUGCUGGAGGUAUCGGAAGCGAGAAUGCUGACAUGAGUAGCGACAAAGGGAGUGAGAACCUCCCUCGCCGAAAGCCCAAGGGUUCCUGCGCAAGGCCAAUCCGCGCAGGGUGAGUCGGCCCCUAAGACGAGGCGGAAACGCGUAGUCGAUGGGAAACAGGUUAAUAUUCCUGUACCCGUGAGAAGUGACGGCCUCUGGAAGUAGUUUUUCCUUAUUGGAUUGGAGAAGCUGCCAAGGAGGUCCAGGAAAUAACUCUCACAUAUGGACCGUACCCGAAACCGACACAGGUGGGCAGGUUGAAUAUACCAAGGCGCUUGAGAGAACGAUGUUGAAGGAACUCGGCAAAUUGCCCCCGUAACUUCGGGAGAAGGGGGCCCACCGUGAAGGCAACUUUACGGUGGGGGCACAGACCAGGGGGUGGCGACUGUUUACUAAAAACACAGGGCUCUGCGAAGUCGCAAGACGACGUAUAGGGUCUGACGCCUGCCCGGUGCCGGAAGGUUAAGAGGAGAUGUGCAAGCAUUGAAUUGAAGCCCCGGUAAACGGCGGCCGUAACUAUAACGGUCCUAAGGUAGCGAAAUUCCUUGUCGGGUAAGUUCCGACCUGCACGAAUGGCGUAACGACUUCCCCACUGUCUCCAACAUCGACUCAGCGAAAUUGAAUUCUCCGUGAAGAUGCGGAGUACCCGCGGUCAGACGGAAAGACCCCGUGCACCUUUACUACAGCUUUGCAGUGGUAUCAGGAUGUGAAUGUGCAGAAUAGGCGGGAGGCUAUGAACCCGAAGCGCCAGCUUCGGUGGAGCCACCUUUGAGAUACCGCCCUUUUGCUUCCUGAUAUCUAACCGAGGUCCGUUAUCCGGAUCCGGGACCCUGCAUGGCGGGUAGUUUGACUGGGGCGGUCGCCUCCCAAAGAGUAACGGAGGCGCGCGAUGGUAGGCUCAGGCUGGUCGGACAUCAGCUUAAGAGUGCAAUGGCAAAAGCCUGCCUGACUGCGAGACUGACAAGUCGAGCAGAGACGAAAGUCGGUCAUAGUGAUCCGGUGGUCCCGC
rnacentral:rRNA from 1 species